rnacentral:rRNA from 1 species
CAAAGAUUUAUCGCCAAGGGAUGAGCCCGCGUAAGAUUAGGUAGUUGGUGGGGUAAAGGCCUACCAAGCCGACGAUCUUUAGCUGGUCUGAGAGGAUGAUCAGCCACAUUGGGACUGAGACACGGCCCAAACUCCUACGGGAGGCAGCAGUGGGGAAUAUUGGACAAUGGGCGCAAGCCUGAUCCAGCCAUGCCGCGUGAGUGAUGAAGGCCCUAGGGUUGUAAACCGCUUUCAGCAGGGACGAAAAUGACGGUACCUGCAGAAGAAGCCCCGGCUAACUACGUGCCAGCUGCCGCGGUAAU